rnacentral:rRNA from 1 species
CCUACGGGAGGCUGCAGUGGGGAAUAUUGCGCAAUGGGGGCAACCCUGACGCAGCAACGCCGCGUGCAGGAAGAAGGUCCUCGGAUUGGAAACCGUCGUCGCUGGGGAAGUAGACAGUGACGGUACCCUGUGAGAAAGUCACGGCUAACGACGUGCCAGCAGCCGCGGUAAUACGGAGGCGACGAGCGUUAUCCGGAUUUACUGGGUGUAAAGGGAGCGCAGGCGGCAAGGGAAGCCUGAUGUGAAAGCCCGCGGCCCAACCGCGGGACUGCAUUGGGAACUACCGGGCUGGAGUGCCGGAGAGGUAGGCGGAAUUCCUGGUGUAGCGGUGAAAUGCGUAGAUAUUAGGAAGAACACCGGUGGCGAAGGCGGCCUACUGGACGGUGACUGACGCUGAGGCUCGAAAGCGUGGGGAGCAAACAGGAUUAGAUACCCGGGUAGUC